rnacentral:rRNA from 1 species
ACGUACACUCCUGCGGGAGGCAGCAGUGGGGAAUAUUGGACAAUGGGCGCAAGCCUGAUCCAGCCAUGCCGCGUGAGUGAUGAAGGCCCUAGGGUUGUAAAGCUCUUUCACCGGUGAAGAUAAUGACGGUAACCGCAGAAGAAGCCCCGGCUAACUUCGUGCCAGCAGCCGCGGUAAUACGAAGGGGGCUAGCGUUGUUCGGAUUUACUGGGCGUAAAGCGCACGUAGGCGGACUAUUAAGUCAGGGGUGAAAUCCCGGGGCUCAACCCCGGAACUGCCUUUGAUACUGGUAGUCUUGAGUUCGAGAGAGGUGAGAGGAAUUCCGAGUGUAGAGGGGAAAUUCGUAGAUAUUCGGAGGAACACCAGUGGCGAAGGCGGCUCACUGGCUCGAUACUGACGCUGAGGUGCGAAAGCGUGGGGAGCAAACAGGAUUAGAUACCCGUGUAGUCCC